rnacentral:rRNA from 1 species
GACGAACGCUGGCGGCGUGCUUAACACAUGCAAGUCGAACGGAAAGGCCCUGCUUUUGUGGGGUGCUCGAGUGGCGAACGGGUGAGUAACACGUGAGUAACCUGCCCUUGACUUUGGGAUAACUUCAGGAAACUGGGGCUAAUACCGGAUAGGAGCUCCUGCUGCAUGGUGGGGGUUGGAAAGUUUCGGCGGUUGGGGAUGGACUCGCGGCUUAUCAGCUUGUUGGUGGGGUAGUGGCUUACCAAGGCUUUGACGGGUAGCCGGCCUGAGAGGGUGACCGGGCACAUUGGGACUGAGAUACGGCCCAGACUCCUACGGGAGGCAGCAGUGGGGAAUAUUGCACAAUGGGCGGAAGCCUGAUGCAGCAACGCCGCGUGCGGGAUGACGGCCUUCGGGUUGUAAACCGCUUUCGCCUGUGACGAAGCGUGAGUGACGGUAAUGGGUAAAGAGGCACCGGCUAACUACGUG